GGUGGCGUACUUGAGUUGAACUUUCUCCCCCCCCCCCUUUACAGGGUUUCGGUUUGUGCCCACAUUUUUCGACGGGAUUUGAAUGGCGCAGGCUCCCUUCCCAGACGUUUCACCCCUGACAGUAGGCGAGUGUCGGGCCGGGGUACGCC
rnacentral:lncRNA from 1 species